GACGAACCGUGCGAACGUUGUUCGGAAUCACUGGGCUUAAAGGGCGCGUAGGCGGCCGGGUUGGUCGUGGGUGAAAUCCCCCAGCUUAACUGGGGAAUUGCCUACGAUACUGCCUGGCUCGAGGGAGGAAGGGGCGGCCGGAACUGUCGGUGGAGCGGUGAAAUGCGUUGAGAUCGACAGGAACGCCGGUGGCGAAAGCGGGCCGCUGGCCCUCUUCUGACGCUGAUGCGCGAAAGCGUGGGGAGCAAACGGG
rnacentral:rRNA from 1 species